rnacentral:misc_RNA from 1 species
GAUGAAGAACGUAGCGAAAUGCGAUACGUAAUGUGAAUUGCAGAUUUCAGUGAAUCAUCGAAUCUUUGAACGCACAUUGCGCCCGCUAGUAUUCUGGCGGGCAUGCCUGUUCGAGGGUCAUUUCAACCAUCAAGCCCUAGGCUUGCGUUGGAGCCCUGCGGCUGCCGCAGGCUCCCAAAUCCAGUGGCGGGCUCGUCGUCGUACCGAGUGCAGUAAACAUCCUCGCUCAGGGAACGUGACGGGUUCUUGCCGUGAAACCCCCCACAUAUCAAGGUUGACCUCGGAUCAGGUAGGAAUACCCGCUGAACUUAAGCAUAUCAAUAAGCGGAGGA